rnacentral:rRNA from 1 species
UACGAAGGGGGCUAGCGUUGUUCGGAUUUACUGGGCGUAAAGCGCGCGUAGGCGGGUCACUAAGUCAGGGGUGAAAUCCCGAGGCUUAACCUCGGAACUGCCUUUGAUACUGGUGACCUGGAGAUCGGGAGAGGUUGGUGGAAUUCCGAGUGUAGAGGUGAAAUUCGUAGAUAUUCGCAAGAACACCAGUGGCGAAGGCGGCUCACUGGCCCGAUACUGACGCUGAGGUGCGAAAGCGUGGGGAGCAAACAGG